UCUCUGGGUGGCGAGUGGCGGACGGGUGAGGAAUACAUCGGAAUCUACCUUUUCGUGGGGGAUAACGUAGGGAAACUUACGCUAAUACCGCAUACGACCUUAGGGUGAAAGCGGAGGACCUUCGGGCUUCGCGCGGAUAGAUGAGCCGAUGUCGGAUUAGCUAGUUGGCGGGGUAAAGGCCCACCAAGGCGACGAUCCGUAGCUGGUCUGAGAGGAUGAUCAGCCACACUGGAACUGAGACACGGUCCAGACUCCUACGGGAGGCAGCAGUGGGGAAUAUUGGACAAUGGGCGCAAGCCUGAUCCAGCCAUGCCGCGUGGGUGAAGAAGGCCUUCGGGUUGUAAAGCCCUUUUGUUGGGAAAGAAAAGCAGUCGGUUAAUACCCGAUUGUUCUGACGGUACCCAAAGAAUAAGCACCGGCUAACUUCGUGCCAGCAGCCGCGGUAAUACGAAGGGUGCAAGCGUUACUCGGAAUUACUGGGCGUAAAGCGUGCGUAGGUGGUUGUUUAAGUCCGUUGUGAAAGCCCUGGGCUCAACCUGGGAAUUGCAGUGGAUACUGGGCAACUAGAGUGUGGUAGAGGAUGGCGGAAUUCCCGGUGUAGCAGUGAAAUGCGUAGAGAUCGGGAGGAACAUCUGUGGCGAAGGCGGCCAUCUGGACCAACACUGACACUGAGGCACGAAAGCGUGGGGA
rnacentral:rRNA from 2 species